UUGGAGGGCAAGUCUGGUGCCAGCAGCCGCGGUAAUUCCAGCUCCAAUAGCGUAUAUUAAAGUUGUUGCAGUUAAAAAGCUCGUAGUUGAAUUUCGGGGUUCUUCCGUUGGUCAGGCUAACCAGUCUGUACUAGCGUGUAGAAUCUCUACCUUCUGGGGAACUAUCAUGUUAUUAAUUUAGCGUGGUGGGAAACCAGGACCUUUACCUUGAAAAAAUUAGAGUGUUCAAAGCAGGCUUACGUCUGAAUACAUUAGCAUGGAAUAAUAAAAUAGGACGGUGGUCCUGUUUUGUUGGUUUCUGAAUCACCGUAAUGAUUAAUAGGGAUAGUUGGGGGCAUUAGUAUUCAAUUGCCAGAGGUGAAAUUCUUGGAUUUAUUGAAGACUAACUUCUGCGAAAGCAUUUGCCAAGGAUGUUUUCAUUAAUCAAGAACGAAAGUUAGGGGAUCGAAGACGAUCAGAUACCGUCGUAGUCUUAACCAUAAACUAUGCCGACUAGGGAUCGGACGAUGUUAAAUUUUAUUGACUCGUUCGGCGCCUUACGGGAAAC
rnacentral:rRNA from 1 species